rnacentral:rRNA from 1 species
AUUGAACGCCGGCGGCAUGCCUUACACAUGCAAGUCGAACGGCAGCGGACCUUCGGGUGCCGGCGAGUGGCGAACGGGUGAGUAAUGCAUCGGAACGUGCCAUUGAGUGGGGGAUAACGUAGCGAAAGUUACGCUAAUACCGCAUAUUCUGUGAGCAGAAAAGCAGGGGACCGCAAGGCCUUGCGCUCUUUGAGCGGCCGAUGUCAGAUUAGCUAGUUGGUGAGGUAAAGGCUUACCAAGGCGACGAUCUGUAGCGGGUCUGAGAGGAUGAUCCGCCACACUGGAACUGAGACACGGUCCAGACUCCUACGGGAGGCAGCAGUGGGGAAUUUUGGACAAUGGGCGCAAGCCUGAUCCAGCCAUGCCGCGUGAGUGAAGAAGGCCUUCGGGUUGUAAAGCUCUUUCGGCCGGGAAGAAAUCGCAUGGGUUAAUACCCUGUGUGGAUGACGGUACCGGAAUAAGAAGCACCGGCUAACUACGUG